rnacentral:rRNA from 1 species
UAGGGAAUAUUGGGCAAUGGCCGAGAGGCUGACCCAGCCAUGCCGCGUGCAGGAAGAAGGCCUUCUGGGUUGUAAACUGCUUUUAUCAGGGAAGAAAACGCUCCUGCGGGAGUAACUGACGGUACCUGAUGAAUAAGCACCGGCUAACUCCGUGCCAGCAGCCGCGGUAAUACGGAGGGUGCAAGCGUUGUCCGGAUUUAUUGGGUUUAAAGGGUGCGUAGGCGGCCCAUUAAGUCCGUGGUGAAAUCCCAGGGCUCAACCCUGGAACUGCCAUGGAUACUGGUGGGCUUGAGUUCGGUCGAGGCGGGCGGAACUGGUGGUGUAGCGGUGAAAUGCAUAGAUACCACCAAGAACCCCGAUUGCGUAGGCAGCUCGCUAGGCCGAAACUGACGCUGAGGCACGAAAGCGUGGGGAGCGGAACAGGGAUUAGAUACCCUGGUAGUCCACGCCGUAAACGAUGAGUACUCGAUGUUGGCGAUACACUGCCAGCGUCCAAGAC